rnacentral:rRNA from 1 species
GACGUAGGGCGCGAGCGUUGUCCGGAUUUAUUGGGCGUAAAGAGCUCGUAGGCGGCUUGUCGCGUCGUUCGUGAAAACCCGGGGCUCAACUCCGGGCUUGCGGGCGAUACGGGCAGGCUAGAGUUCGGUAGGGGAGACUGGAAUUCCUGGUGUAGCGGUGAAAUGCGCAGAUAUCAGGAGGAACACCGGUGGCGAAGGCGGGUCUCUGGGCCGAUACUGACGCUGAGACGCGAAAGCGUGGGGAGCGAACAGG